rnacentral:ncRNA from 1 species
CGCGUAAAAAGGCAAGCCGAGAUCGAAGACCGGUACGCAAAGCUACCAGUCUAAAGAGCAAUCGCUCCAUGGCGAAGGGGCUGCAUGC